AUUAGCAAAUCACCAUGAAUGUGCCCGAUCUCAUCAGCUCUUGGAAGCUAAGCAGAGUUGAGCCUGGUUAGUGCUGUAAGCAGCCUCGGGCCUGUGCUAGGU
rnacentral:rRNA from 1 species